AUCUAGCUGACGAGUACCGAAUAGCACAAAACGCGCGUCCUGGAU
rnacentral:hammerhead_ribozyme from 1 species